AAAGAAAGCAAACAUUUACUAAUAUACAUUUACUGAGAAUGAAGCUUAAAUUGAUGUCUAUAGAGUGUUUUGCCCCCUCAUAUUAAACUUUUACACACUAUUAAAGUUAAAAUAUUUUAUAUUCUCUGAACUCACAAAUGCUAGCUGGCCAUUUUAGUUGGAGGAAUGUAAUAAAUAAUGAGACAACGUUGGUAAAUUCAUUCUCAAAUGCAGUGUUUGUCAUUAUUCCUUUAUGAAAUUAGAGCUAUAUGCAGCAUUUUACUUUUCCACAUGUGUAUAUUAAAUAGAAUAUUCAAGAAAUGACACCAUCCUUUUAUUUUUCUUGUAGUUUCUUAAAGUUUUAACAUUUUUACAUUUAGAAUUUUUUUUACAUUUUGUAAUCAGGUUGUAUUUCUUAAUAAUAUUAUUUUAGUAUAGUAGAAAACAGUUACGUGUCUUAUUAUCAAUGUUCACAUCACAUACACACUAUCUUAUUUUUGACCUUAACCCAGAUACAUGUGCAGACUGAUGUCCAAGUAUCAUCAGACUUUUUUCCAAAGGACAUUCUGAAAAUAAAUUACUGAAAGGUCUUGAAGUUUAGUAUCUCUACUUUUCCAAAAGAAACACCACUAAAAAAUCACAAAAAAAUUUUAUAAAUUCUACUAAUUAUUACUUUCUAAUGAUUUCUCCCCACUGUAAGAGAAUAUAUGUAUAUAUAUUUUCUUCUGUCCUUAUGUAUAAAAUAUACUUUGGAGUAAUAAAACUGAUAUUCAUAUAUGAACUAUUAUAUCCUGUAUUUAUCUGAAUGUUCCUGAGUGUAUAGAUGUAAUUAUUUAAAACUAAAAUAUAAAUUCUGUCCUAAUAAAUAAAUACAAAAUUUGAAGUUGACUUAAUGUAUGUGAUAAAGAUUCACUCAUUAUUCUAGUCCAACGUUAGUAUGAAGUAUUUCUAGUACAUUAUCUUUUUUCCUAUCAAUUUUCCUAGGAAUUAAAGUAUAAGCCAAUAAUUUUGUUAAUUUUUAAACAAUUCAAAUUUUAAAUAUGAAAUUAUUUUCAUAUGUAAUAAGUGUAUGUCCUUAAAAUACUAAGUAAUUCAUUAGAGACUCCAUCUUGUAUAAUAUUUAAGCAUUGAAAUCUAUAUUCUUAAAAAAUCUCACUGACAUAUUUUAAUAACAAAAACCAGCUUUCUUUACUAGGUACCUUAUUCACUUGUAAACAAAUUUUGUGUAGGAUGUGGGUUAUUGAUACAAAAUGCCUAUACGUUGAUACCUGUGGAAAUUGACAAAUAAAUAAAUGAACAAACAAACAAAAAUGCCUGCAGAGCCCUAGGAGUAUUUAAGUUUCCCAAUCUUUAUAUUGCUGUAUUUCUCUAGGCACAUUAUAUGUGGCAUUCUGUCACCCAAAUAAAUGCAAAACAAAUAAGAGAGGUUAUGAUUUCUGUGCACUAAAAUCACCAGAAAAUACAUUUGUCUUUAAAAAUUAACUGAAUGUAGAUAGAUAGAUAGAUAGAUAGAUAGAUAGAUAGAUAGAUAGAUAGAUAGAUUAUAUCCUGUUGCAUGUAGAAAACAUGCUGAAAUUAUUCUGGGAGGGUUAAAACUCCAAAACAAACAAACAAAAAAAAAAUUGAGUGAGUCAGUGUUAUAAAUCAAGUUAAUUUGCAACAUUAUUUUUGAGUUGAAAUAUUAAGGGUUUAACAUAUUUAUAUCAUUAUUUUGAGGGCACCAAAGUAACUCUAAAUUUUAAAUCUUCCAUGUGUCUUUAAAAUAAACGCAUUUGAUUGUUUUCAUAACAACGAUAAUAUUAAUUAUAUCUUAUAUUUAUGUAAUACUUUUUAUUUUAUAUAACAAGCUUCUAUGCAUUGUCUCAUCUGAUCCCCAUAUCUUUAUUAUUAUUAUUUUGCUGUAUGUAGCAUUACCACUCUCAGUCUAUACAUAAAAGAUGCUAAGUUACCAGAGUUUUUACAGAUAGUAAGUGGUGGAGCAAGAACUGGAGGAUGAAUCAUUUCAACCCUAGUCUAGAACUCUUGCUCCCAUGUCACAUGCUAACUCGCUUCUCAGAGUAAUCAAAUAAACUGACUAUCAUAAAAGUCAGAACUUGGGAGGAAAUGUGAACAUAUGAAAGUGUAUUUUCAUAUAUUAUCAACUUUUUGAACUCUUAUUGAGGCCAUUGAGUAAAAAUAAUUUUCUGUCACUGUAAAUGCAGAGGGAAUGUAACAAGUAUUUGCCCUGAAUCCAUUAUUCAGAAAUAAAUGAAACAGCAUAAAGUCAUGCAAGUGCACUGUUGGUGACUUUCCUUUCCCUAAAGUUGGGGUGGUUGAAGUGAAUUUCCUUGCUCUUUCUCCAGGUGCUUGUACUGUUCGCAUGCUGAGCUGCACAGCUUUCAAAGGGCUUGCCCUGGGAUAUGGCUGGGCUAGAUUUAGAAGGAACUGGUCAUUGAAUAGCUCUGGUAAUUCUUGCAUCUCACAGUUAUGCGGUUGACAGCUCCUUUCAGUAGGGAAAGCUUGGGUAUAUUUCAAGGUGAUUGUAGUUUUGUCCCUCUGGCAGCAAGCUGCUGCAACCAGCUUAGCCCAUUAUCCUCCUCUCCCACUGGAUUUAAGCCUGGGGAGAAAUCUGGGGCUUUUGUCAAGAUAGAAGGUAAGAGAUGGAUAAUUAUUCCCUGUGUGUGCUCAAAAAGAACAGCACUAUAUCAUAGAGUAGCUUUCAAUUACUGAAAUGGGAUUGUCUGAAGUUCCAGUGGCUUAUAAAUUACUCUUUGUAAAAACCAAUAUUUAACAUUAUUGUAUUAGUGAUGUGCUUUUAAUAUCUCUUUCAUGUAAUAUCAUGUAAUAAACUUUAAGGUUUAUUACAUGAAACUUUGCAAACAGUGUUUAACACUCAGAGAAUAAAAUGCAUUUCCAUUUUUGUGGUUUUAUUAGAAGAUUUAAAAACAAAUGGCUGCUCUGAAAAAAUUGAUUAAAAACUUCACUGUACAAUUGACUACAUUAUAAUUUUUCUCAAUUUGAGUUUCUUAAAUCUCAGGGGCUAGUACUGUAAAAUCAACGCAAAGUAAUUACAAAAUUUAAAAUUCCAGAUGUUAUGAUUACAUACAUCUUGUCCUUUAAUAUCCAUUCUGUCAAAUACCUUUUAUAAACACUGCUACUUAACAAAACACAUUUGGAAAAUAAAAUUUUCACUAAUUCUGAUUAAUUAAUUAGGUAAAUCAGUCUUAGCAUAUUUAGAGGGCAGUAUUUUCAGUUUGUGAUCACCCAGGAGCUCAACAUUACUUUCACUCUCCUUUUAAAGGCAGAAAUUAUAGUCAGAAAUGUGCAUUUCAAUUUGUAGCUGACAGUUUAGGGUUAAGAUAUGAUUCCAGGUAACAGAAGCCAAUGAGAGUACACCCAGUUGAUGUUUGUGACAUCAUCUUCCAGUCAGAGUACAUAGAACAGCUGAGGUAGCGUUCAGUUUCAGCACAGUGCCAUUAUGAUGGAUGUUUACAUCUCUUCAUUGAGAGCCAAUUAUCUCGCUUUUGUGUGAGGCCCAAGGAUCACUCAUGCUUCCAGGCUGCACAGAGCACUGUUGGAUCUAGCUGAACGAAUUGUUUUCUCUGUCUCUGGUAAGGGCUUCUUCUGUUUUACCUUCUCUUUUAAAAUAAAGGUAGAUGUGUCUUACAGAGAAAAUAUUAUAAGGGUCAAAAAGGAUUACUAUCUGGUAAGCUUUUAUUCAGGAAUGUUUAUCAUUAUUUAAAGGACUAUGGAGUUAGCAAAAUGAAUUAAAAAAAGAGCUUGCUAACGUGUACCUGACAAACUAAUUUGCAGCAGAAAAUGAAAAGCAGGUAAAUCCGGCUUCGCUUUAGAAAAAGGAAAAUACUGCUAUUAUAAGACCACAAUUUUGAAUGUGUUUUUAAAACUGUAUAUGUGUAUGUAUAUCAUUCUGCAUCAUUUCUCUAUAUUUUUCUAUUAGUAUUAAAGAAUAGUGGUAGAAAUGGUCAACCAAGUAGUGUUGCUGUAGACUUAAAAUGAGUCAAAGUUUCUAAUUGUUAAAUGGCAGUUCUUUGGGACAGUUUUCCAAAGUUGCAUUUAUACAGGGAAAACAAAGUUUACCAAGUGAGCAAAGGCUCUGGCUUCUGAAAUAAAGUUGUAGGACUUUACAUUCAUAUUUACCAUUUAAAUAUUUGGAAAUAAUAAUAAUGAAAAAUUUUAAGAAUGGAUGUAAGGGUUUCUUUGUGGAAUUAAGAGAUAUUAAAAUCAUUUAUUGCAUUUUUGUUAUGCUUUUUGGUGCAUAAUAAAAUACUGUCUUUACAUAGCCAGAAAAUAUUUAAAUCCUAAAAAUAUAUCUUUAUAUUAUUUAAUCAUUUGUCAGUAGUAACAUUUAUGCCUGAGGAUCUUGUUAUAUUGUAGCAAAACAAAUAUAUUUAGAGCUGUUGAACUGCUAUGGAUAGGUGAUUGAAUGUGACAGAGAACCUGAAAAGUCACUACACUAAAAGCUUUCAAUUGACUGAGAAUGUUCACAUGAUAACAAAUGAAGAAUUCAAAAACAUUUGUAUCCCCUCAAAUGUUGUCUAUUAUUAUGGUAUAAAGUAGCAUACUGUUGUUAUUUUAAAGUUGGAUGCAGUUAUUUAUGAAAUAAAGCCACAGAAAAGUGUAAUUAAUUGUUAUUUUGUUUAACGUGCUCUUUUAUUUUAAUAGCAUCUCCAUUCCUCCUAGGGUUAUAAAACUUUUGAAUAAUGGCUUGUUCAUCAAGUGUUGAUGUGCUUAUGCUUUUUAGAUUUAUUUUUACUGUGCCUUUAACAUAGAAUAUUUCUGCCUUUGCAAACUAGUAAUUUUGAUAAUUAAAACUCAGGAUUUGGAGAUUCUCGAGUUGAGCUUUAAGACAGCAGGGGUUUUUCAGCUAUGUCACACUCUGUGUCUUCUGCUAGCCCAGUCCUGUUUGGCAGCUCUAGACAUUACUGUUGUUCGAAUUGUCUCCUUUAGUCCAUUCAGGUCUGAACAAAACUAAGUUUAUAGACAGUGUCAGAUGUGUAUUAAUUAAAUCUAAACAAGUGAGCUUAAUGUCUCAGCCACAACAAUACGUAAUCAACAAAACCUCAAAAAGCUUCCAAUAUACAUCUAGAGUCAAUUUUUUGCUGAGAAAAAUUUAAGUUGGUAUAUUCUGUGAAUUUCAAAAUUUAAAGUGAAAUCUAAAAGUUUUGGAUAAUAUGAGCUUGAAAGCAUGAGUCACUGCUUUGAAAUGAAUUUUUUUUCUUUCCCUAAGUACUCUAUAGUGAAGUUGAAAAACCCAGUGGUACUGACUGUGUCAUUUUCACAGGUGAUUAAACUUAACUAAGGGAAAAGCAUUUGUCUCCUAAUAAUUAAUUCUUUAAAAAUCUAUUUAUAUCAUUCUGUCAACAAUGAAGAAAAUCUUAUUCAGCUAAUGAAUGAUCUAGACAUUUAAAUUGCAUUUUUUUCUGUGUAUGAUUCCUUCUUUCAGUAUUAGCCUUGCUAGUCACAAAUGCACUACAUUGAUGGUGACUGCAGUGUUAAAUUGCUUAUCUCCUUCUUUUCCUUUGGACAACUUUAUACAACGCAAGUACACGAGAUAUGAGCUACCUAGCUAAUGGACUUCAUUCAUUUCACAAAAAGUUUUUUAUUAUUAUUUUUAAUUUAAGAGAGGACAUCAGUGAUAUCAUAGCAAUUUCCUAUGCCACAAAGUCCCUAGGAAGGCUUCCCAGUACAGGGUGACAUAAAUAAAUGAUGUGUGAUGUUACUUGUACUGCCCUAUUCUCUGCCUCCUUUUAAAUACAUAUGUUCUUUAUCUGACUUAUGUAACCAGUAUUAAGAAGAGAUGGAAAAAAAUAGCCAUGAAAAGAUACUUAUUAACUCUUCUGAAGUUCUCUGCAUACUCCAUAUGCUGGGGGUGAUAUAUUUUUUCUUUUGAAAAUGACUCCUCAAAUUAUGUUUUUACCUAUUGCAAAAUAAUACUCUUUUGUAUAUUUUAACACUUUCCUAGAAUUUAGUUUAUUGUAAGCCCCUUUAUUAGUUUCAUGUAAUGAUUGAAUGCACAAUACUGCUUGGUUUUUUAGUUUCUCAGUUCAAGCACUUGAAUGAUCAUGAAUUCUAUGCUUGUCUUGACAGUGGGAAAUUCUGGGCAUUCCAGGCCAACUUUUUACUUAAGCCAAAAAAUAUAGUAACUAUGAUGUCAUUUUGGACAGCUUGGACUUAUUGUGUGAAUGUCUGGAUAUUUAGGUGUAUAUUUUAGGUACAUAAAUGUAAUGUUUUUAUGCAUUUUAAAGUUUAAAAGAUCUUUUUAUCAACCUUGUGUAUAUAUACAAUUAAUUCUUAACAAUUGAUAUGUGAUAAAGUAAUUGAUAUUAUGCAACUAAGGAAACAGAGACUAAUAAUUCGUAACUUGUUGCCAAAGAUCACCCAGUCAGUAAGUCAGUAAAUGGAGGAGCUAGGACUCAGAAACAGGUUUACAAAUUUCAGUGCCCCAAAUCAAUCAAUUUCUCUUUCUUUCUUUCUUUCUCUUUCUCUCUCCCUCCCUCCCUUAAUACAGCCGGUUAUCUAAUCAGUCACUUCUCUUGAGUAUCUACUUCGUGCCAGGCACUCUUCUAGGUACUUGGCAUUUAUAACUGAACAAUGUAAAAAAAUUCUUGUUGUUGCACAUAUUAUUUUUUUUCUACCUGAAAAGCUCUCAUCUUUAAUUUACUAUAAAAGUAGAAUGUAUUUUAAGGUGUGGCUAAUUAAAACCAAAAACUUUAUGGGAAAUAGGAAACAUAAGUUAAAGGAUACAUUCAUUUGCAUUUCUUGUGUUUCUGUGUGUCUCUAAGUUCUCAGGUAUGUUUUAAUCUAAAAUAGAUUUUUACAUUAUAUUUGGGUUUUGUGAAAAGUCUAUCAAUUAUUUUAUAACUCAUACUUGAUUCUGAAUGUGGUCACUGAAAUAUUAUAAGAAUAAAAUAGCUUGUGGUAGAUAUCAAAACAGUAUCAAUCAUUUUUGGACAAAGUUAUCUUGUAUUUAUAAUGUAUGUUCAAGCAAGCUAGCUUUAUUUUUAUUGUCUAUUUUACAAUCAAUUAUUUGCUGGUAAUAGUAUGCCGAGUUUACAGUUGUUUGACUUUGGACAAGGUUCUUUAUAGUAUAAGUAAAAUAAUAAAAAAUGAAGAAUUUUUUUAUUUUAAUUAAAAACUUAAUAUCUCCCAAAUGAUAGUAGUUUGUGUUUGAACAAGCAAACUAGAGACAAUUUACUUUUUAAGGCCAAUUUUUUCACUGUCUUGGUAGCUACUAAUGCUAGUUCCUAGGACAAUGGCACUAAAAAGUGAUAUUUAUUCGCUAUUCAACUUAUUUACAGAUACUCAGUGAUUUAAAAGAAAUAAAAAGCCUAAAAUACAACCUCCUCAGAGAAAACCAAUCCAUACGUAGAACCUAUCAGUUGAAGAUAAAUUAUUUUUAGAUAGUAUCAUUUAAUUAGCCACUGAAGAAUCUGUCUAGUGACAUACAUAUAAAUUGUACAACAAAAGUUAACUGAACACACUUGAUUUGGCUCAAAAUAUUUUACUGUGGUCCUAUUGCAUAAUAAUAAAACAAUAGCCCUGAACUUAGUCCCUUUAGUAAUGCCCAUUUGAAGUAUGCAGAAUAAGACAGUAAAAUUAGAAUUCAAUAAUUGAAAGUACGAAUGUGAUUUUUUAUCUGCUUUCUCUCUCUGCCUCUGAAGCUAUGACAAACGAAUGUGCCCUUUUCAGGGGUUAAUAAAUUAUGAAGACUUUUCCACUUCUUUCAGAGUUAGAGACAGAGAAGCUUGUUCACAUUCGAACUGCAUAAAAUGAAAAAAUAAUCUAGAGCUAUUAAGCAGUAGAUGUUUAAUAGCACUAAAGGUACUGGGCCUUGGGUUUAGCUAUUUUUAACAACUUAUAUCCAUGAAUUAAUUUUAAUAGUGUUUUUGAUGAGAAAAUAUAAAUGGACAACAGUACUUUUUAAUGCUAAAUUCUGCUAAAAGCAGAGAAUUUGUUGUUCAGUGUUUGAUACUGGUCUCAGUGGCAUGGAACUGAGCAUAUCAUAAAGGUUGUCUAGGUAAAUUUUCACAAGUAAGUGGCUCUCUACCUGUGUGCCAUGGCACACCAUAAAACUCUCAAGGGUAUGUCCUAACAUUUGGGUCAAUGUGGAAAAUGCAUUUUGCCUAAAACUGAGUAUACAUAUUGGUGCUGCAGUCAGUCAGAUAAAAUAUGGAGCUGAGUGAAACCAAUAAUAUGGGGAAGAAAAUGACACAAUUUGCUGUGAUGAGAGGCAAGGUGUAAAGUUAAGUUCCAGCAACUUUUCUCCAUUUGAAGUACAGAAGAGGCUAUGAUCAUGCUAGAAAACACUUUUUCUCAGCAGAGCAAGAAAAGAGCAGAUGCUUUUAAAGACACUUUCUUUUUUGUUUGCGUGCACUUGUUGCAUGUAAGAAUAUGCAAUAAGUGCGUGCAAAUUGUAUUCAGGUAGUCUGGGACCAGGUGUGUCUAAUUAAAACCAAAAACUUUAUGGGAAAUAGGAAACAUAAGUUAAAGGAUACAUUCAUUUGCAUUUCUUGUGCUUCUGUGUGUCUCUAAGUUCUCAGGUAUGUUUUAAUCUAAAAUAGAUUUUUAUGUUACAUUUGGGUUUUAAAUGUUGACUUUUAAUAUUUUUAAAAGUCUGGGACCAGACUACCGGAAUACAAUUUGUUGUUCCACCCUUUUCAGUCUUCAUGCCUUCAUAAUAAAAAAAAAAAAAAAACGGGAAAUAAAAGUACCUACCUCGUAAGUUUGUUGUGAAAAUUUCAUGAACUAAUCUUAUAAGCAUGGAGAACAGUGCCUUGCAUAUAGUAAAUGUUCAAUUACUAUUGCCUCUCUUUAGUAUUUUCAUUGUUUUCAUUGUUACUGACUUGCUUAGUAUUAUGUGGCUGUGUCUUUUAAUUCAUUCAGGAGUUUCAUUAAAAAUUGCUAUUCACUAACAUGAAAACUCUGGUAUAGUACAAACACAAUUUUGGGAACCAAUCAUACUAAUUACUUUUGAAACUAGAUGCUGAUUGUAGAUUUUGUUGGUAAACACGGGUUAAUCAUUUACUGCAUAUAAAACUUCUGAUGUUUUAAUUUUAACUAUUGUAAGAUAAAAAAUGAAUUAAAUAACUUUUAGGAACUUUUCUCAAAUCUAAAAUGAUAUAAUAUGGGAUAUCAUAUACAUACAAAUCUAAGUACGUAAUAAAAUAGAAAGUCUUAUAGCUUUACCUUUUAUCUUUUACUCUGUUUUACUUUGCUACUUUUUAUUCUAUGAUUUUUCAUAAGUCAAUGAGAGUUUCAAACCUGGAGUUAUGAAAGUUUUAUUUGUCUGAUAUAUGUAGAGACCAACAGUCUGCUUUUCAACAGUCCAUUGUCUCAUAUUGGUGAUGAAGUGGUGAUAGAAUUGAGUUAAAGUUUUUCAGUUCUUCUUUACUCAUGACGUUCUGUAUUCUUAACAUAGUCAUUAGAGGCAAAGUAUGUUUUUAUUUUAAAAAUCUCUCUCUCUCUCUCUCUCUCUCUCUCUCAGUGUGUGUGUGUGUAGGUUGCUUGUUUGUUUUGUUUUAAUGAAGCAUCUAACAUGUACUUAAUACUACCUCAAGAGAGAUACAAAUAGAAAAGGAUAAAAAAUGUAAUGUUUAAAUUAGGUUAUUCUUCCCCACUGUUUAUAAUCUUGUAGAAUCAAGGCAUUAAUGAAUGUGUAAAACAUUUUCUAAAAAUCUAUUCAUUCCACUAAGGUAUUUUCCCUUCACUUUUAAGUGCUCUGACUCAUUCUACGAAUUAUUUAAAGCUCAGCCACUCAACUACUGAGCACUUAUGGCAUGCCAGCAGUGAACAGAGCACCACCACUGCUCUCCAGGGGUUCAUGGUCUAGUGACCAACACAAAGUUGGAAAUAAAUAAUUACAAUCCAUUGUGAUAAGUUUUACAUUAGAGAUAUGCACAGAGUGCUCAGGGGACACCCACAAGGAGUGAUUUAUUCUAUGUGUAAAAAUCUGGAAAAUCUUUAAAAAUAAGCUGUCACUUAGCUGAGUUUUGGAAAAUUAGAGACUUUUUCACGUACAGGUGGGCAAAGGAUAUUUCAGAUAGAGGGACCUCAUUAAGAACAAAGUCAAAAUGAGAAGAGAAAGCACAGUGUGUUCAGUUAAGGUCAAGUUGCUUAUCAUAAGCAAAGGCAGGAGUGAGGGAGAGCUAAAAAUUUGCACCAAGGUAUCAGAACAGAUUCUAAUUGUAAAUAACCAGUAAGGACAACUGUCAUAACUGCAUAACUUUAAUCCUUGGCUGGAUGUUUAAAUUAGGUUAUUCAAAUUUUAAAUACUCUAGAAGGGCUGUGAUGAGAUGGAUCACUGUGGUUUUGAGAAAAUGAGGAAUGCUUCCUAAAAGAGGUAAGAAGCAGGAUUAUUUGGCACUAUUUAAAGCAGUCUGACACAUCAAAGGAACAGGAAUGGUCAACACAUUCUACUUCAUUAAUUUCCGCUAACUUUACUAGGUAUAUCAAUCUAUUAAGUUAUUUUAAAUAAUGGAUAAUGUUGGAUGGGGUGAUUAAUUACUCAAGAAUAGAAAGGUGGGUCACACGUGACAUAAUUGAGAGGAAUACCAGAGUUUGGGAAAGAGUUUCUGAAGUCAGUAUUUAUUCACUAUUUAUGAACUUGAGCAAACAUGAACUAGGGAUAGGAAGUGUAUGAUGCUGAAUGACAAAAUGCUUUACUAUUGGGCUGGGGUCAGUGGGAAAAUCCAGGGAAAGGAACUCCCCUUCUUAUAGAAUAACUCAGUUCAUUGCACUUAUUUUUUAAAUUAUCUGAACAACAUUAUAUAAAAGUUAUAUAUUAAAUAAUUAUUUUAAAAGAAAACAAUAAGCAUUGUGUCAUUCUUUUCUUGGUGUAAAAUUUUCUCAAGUGGCAUGUGAUUUACAGUGAACACAAAUAAAUAAUGGGGGAAGAUGGAAAGAGGUGCUCAGCAUGGGAACAGAGCAUAACACUAGCUAGUUUCACAGCUGUCUCUUAGGCUGUCUCCCAGAAAUUUAUUCUAAGUUUAUUCACUUAUUUCAUCAUGGUGAGAUUCCGAUAUAUUUAGAUGGUAUCCAAAGAGAAUUAGGCUUUAUGUAUGACCGCUCCCAUCUACAAUGUUAUAGGCAUUCUGAUAGGUGGCGAAGUUACAUAAGGAUGGUGGUGGUGGUGUAUCAAGAAAAUGUGUGUCAUAGCAGAGCACAACAGGCAAUAGGACAGAAAAGGCAUGACAGAAGAGGCAAGACAAUUGCCUAUCUACUUGGAAGGGAACCGCUUCUCACUUGCCUGUAUCUUUAAUAUUAACUCUCAGAGCAUUCUUGCAUAAGAGCGUGCAAGUGAUAACUUUGGCAUGAGAAAGAGAACAUGGUUCUGAGGGUAGAAAAUAGGAUAAACUGAGGGGCAUUAGGGAGGUGGAGAUAUAGAAAGGUAAAUAUUUGGGGGAAAGAACAAAAAAAAAUCCACAGACAGGGUUGUAGUCACAAAUCAUAGAGGGUAUUUUACUCUCUUGAGGUCAAAGAUUCUCCCUAAUUCUUUUCUGAAUACCUAUGGCCUAGCAAAGUGCUCUGCAGAAGUUUGCUGAAUGAAUGUCUGGCUGCCUGAGAGAAGGAAGGAAGGAAGGAAGGAAGGAAGGAAGGAAGGAAGGAAGGAAGGAAGGAAGGAAGGAAGAGAAACUAGGUUCUUUCUUUGUGUACUUUAGACAUGCUAUGCUUGAGAUGUCCACUAAAGAGCAAAUAAGACAUGUAGGUAUUGGUUAUCAAGAAGCCUUAGGAAAUUCCUCUAUUUAAAAGUGGUGAAGAGGAGGAAGAACAAACAAAGGAGACUCAGAAUCAAAGAGCCUUUGAAUAAGGAGGAUAACUACAUCUAGACUAUUAAAACUUCAGAUCAGGAAGGAAAAGAUGGUGCUGAGGGUAGAAAAUCCUCUGAAACCUCUAUGCAGGAAAUACAAAUCUGAACAUGACACUCCUUUCCCCUCUUCCCCAUAAUCUUCCUUCCAUUCCCUUGUGACCUAAAACUCUUCAGUGGCCUUCCAUUACGUACAGGAUAAUAACAAAACUAGUAUGCUUCAUAAGGCCCAGCAUGAUGGUCUCUGUGUUCCAGCAACAUUUACUUUCUUUUCAUCUCUCUUACAAUUUCUUCUUCAGUUCCACCACUGAGCCUUAGUUUAUGCCAUUCUGUCUGGCUAGCAGGUUCCUCUGAACCUUUUCCACAUGUUUACUUCAAAUUUAUUAUUCAAUUCUCAGUUAAAGAAGCACAGCCUUAAGGAAUUCCUCCUUGACCUUCCUGAUGAGGCCAGAUAUCCCUAUUACAGGUUCUUAACACAGUAUUUAACACUUUCAAAAGUUUCCAUUGCAGGCUUUCUUGGUUGAUUAAAUUGUUAAUGCCAGUCUUCCCACGAGACUGUAAUCUUUAUGAAAGUAAUGGCCAGAGUCUACUCUGAAUCAGCACUGAACCUCCAGUGUCUGGAGUAAGGAAAUCAGCUAGAUAUAUAUGGUCAAGUGAAUAAAUGGUGUGAGUAAACAGAAGAUUGCAAAAAGUGUAUUUACACCUGGGAACAACAAAGUACUGAGAUGCUACUGAAUGUUAAUCAUAGAAAUAAAAUUUGAGUGGACUUUCUUAGAGCAUAAAUAAAAUGCAUGCCCAUAUCUGCAGCCUCCUUCCCACUAAUAUGUGUGUAACCCUAUAACUAAUUAUAUAAGUAUUUAAGUAAGAGAACAGAUUGUGCAUUUUGAGUUAUGCACAGAAUAAUAAAAAAUAUUGUAUCCUAAUGGUCAUUUGUAACACACAGAUAGUUGAAGGAUAUGAAGAGAUACAGACUCAUCAUAGAAACUGUGUAUGUGAGUGUGUUUGUACAAAACUUGUACCAGGGUAUAACUGAUGCUACUAAAACUAGAAAGAAUGUAAUUGAGAAUGUGAUGUCCCAUCAUAUGAAAGGGUGCAGAAAGUCUCAAAAUAUAGAACAAAGAAAAUUGCACUUUAAAUUGCAGGGAAGGUCACUGGUGGCCUUAAAGAAAGUAGUUUGAGAUAUUAGAUAGCAAGGAGUCCAGCAGGAAAUUGAUACUUAGGAGUUGAAGUCAUGUUCAAGCAAUUUACAACAGAAAAGGAAUAAAGACUUGCUGGUCAGAACUGUCAAAUAAUAACCCUUUCAGGAAUGGAAAAAGUUGAUUUGGUGGGCAGAUAUAUGAAUUAUUAAGUAACAUUUACCUUUGUAAAUUGGCCUUCAUAACUUGUACAAAACGUAUUUAUAAUAAAUAAAGUGUUUAUAGAACAUAUAGCUACGUUUAAAAAUUUCAAGCACAGUUAGAACAAAAGAUAGCAAUAUAUCCAAAAAUAUAGAAAAUUGUGGGAGUCAUUUACUCAGCAGUUAAUUUAUUCUUUUAAAAUGACUCUUUCAGUAGCCAUUUAUAAGCAUGUUUAUAGAUGGUAAACUGUUCAUGAGUGUGUAGGCAAAUAAACAAAGAAACCUUCUGGAAUGAAGACCUAGACUCUCUAGAAGGUUGCAGGAUACUCUAAGAAGCAAUGGUUGACGGGCGCCUGUAGUCCCAGCUACUCCGGAGGCUGAGGCAGGAGAAUGGCGUGAACCCAGGAGGCGGAGCUUGCAGUGAGCGGAGAUCAAGCCACUGCGCUCCAGCCUUGGCAACUGAGCGAGACUCUGUCUCAAAAAAAAAAAAAAAAAAAAAAAGCAAUGGUACACUAGGAGAUAUUCAUGGCCUGCUAAAUAGAAGAGCUCUUAAACUCUAAGACAUUGGAGAAAUUAACUGAAACCAAAAGAGAGAAAGGUAUAUUUUAGACACAGCUUAAAAAUCGGUUGGAUUGGAAAAUACUACUACACUCUAAUAUAUAAAUAUGAAUGUACAAUUAAUGUGUAUGUAUAUACAAAUUAUUUUAAUUUAAAUAUGUAAAACUGUAUAAUGGUGUAAACUUUUGUUUUAAAAUUUGGCUACACAUUGAGCUAUUUAUUCUGGUAGCUCUAUGAUGAUUAUAGAUUUAUUCUCAAGAAAUUUUUGAUUUACUUAGAAAAAAAUCACUUUAAUUGAUUUGUUCUUGUUGUAGAAGAGGGCAAGAUAUUUUUGAAUAAUCUAAAGAGGAGGAAAAUUAUAUUCUACCUCUUUCCAAAAUAGUUUGAAAAACAAAGUAACAGGAUUUGAGUACUAACCCUAGGAGCUAACAUGGAAGGAGGACUGGGAUGCACCAUGGCUUCAGAGAAAUUGAGAUCAAAAGGGGGGUUUUGAAACUGGAACAGUUGGGCACAAUACUAUGCCUAGGAAACAUCACAGCCACCUCUAUGUGACAAAGAUACUCACUCAGAAAUCUCUUGUAUUCGGGCUAAACUGAAGAUGACUAGACCCUAGAAACCAGACAGAAGCACAGAGACCCAAAAACAAUUUGAGGAUGCCCAUGGGGCCAAAAUAUAAAGAAGUUCAAAAAAGGAGGCAGAACAUGGUGUCUGAUGUCUGAUAGGAGGAAUCUAGGCAAGAAGACUGAACUCAGAGACAAGAUUGUAGUUUCCAGGAAGCCUAGAAGGGCAGAACCUUAAUCUAGAAACCUGGCAUGCUAACCUGGGACCCAGUAACUGGAGGAGACCUAAUUGCUCCUCUCUGUUUUUGGCAAGAGAACUCGAGGGCUGGACGGAGUGUCUGAGAUCAGGGAGUUGUAGAACCUUGGUGGAUUUCUACCCAUAGGAUGAGUUGGUGUUUCUAUUAGUGAAGGGUAGAUGGCUGAUCUCACCAUUUGGUGUAUUUUUUUUAGUUUAGAGUGGGCCAUUAUAGUGUGGGCUUAGGAGUCAGUUGGCUAGGCAUUAAUUCCUGGCUUCCCACUUAACCAGUGUUGUGACUAUGAGCAGAGAAUUUAACUUCUCUGUGCCCCAGUUGCCUCAUCAGUGGGAUGAAGUGAGGAUCAAAUGAGAUAAUGCAUACCACCCACUUAAUACUGCACUGACACAGUACAUGCUGGAUAAAUGCUGUCCCUUAUAAUUAUUAUUACUCACCCAUAAACCCUAUGCUUCAGUUCUGCUGCUCCUGAAACUCACCUCUGGGCAUUGGCACAUGUUCUUUCUGUUUGAAGAACUCUGCUAUGUCAAUUCCUUUUCAUCGUUACUGGUGGUGUUUGGGGUUUCUUCCUAGAACCUCUUUGAUGAGUGAGGUGUCCCUCUUUUGUGCUCAUAGAGCAUUUUCACUUUCCCUGUAAUGUAUUUAAAUUGACCAUUGCCUUCUCUGUGUCCCCCAUUAGCCUCUAGGCUUUAUGUGUUUUGGGAUUUUAUAAGUUGUAUCCAUUGCUGUAUCAGCAGUGCUAGCGCAGAGUAGAAGCUCAUUAAAUGCUGAUUAAAUGAAUGUAUGAUGAGAGACCCCAGACUUAGAUCCCUUUAGGGAGCCAUAAUCUGAAAGGAUUUCUCUAUUAGAGUUUAAUUUGGGGAGCUCUAUUAGAACUUAGUGGUAGAGCCAGAACUAGAAGGUCUGAGGUGAGAGAUAAAGCUACUUUUAGAAGGAGGCAAUGAAACCCACCCCUUCACUAAUCCCUGUCUGUCUCCUGCCCCAAUGGUGUUGGUAAAACAACUUACAUCCUGAGAGUUUCUGACACAGCCCUCGAGCUGCUGUGGCAGUCACCAUCUUUCCUAAUCUAAUUGGUAAAAACAUGCCUGGAGGGUAGUCAGCAAAUGACCGCCCAGCAUCAUUAAACAGUGCAAAGCAUUCUAGAAAGUACAGGAUGUGUGUUGCUUAUGUGCGUGUAGGCGUAGGCAUGACCUAGGCAAGAUGCUGCUGUUCUUAGUAUUUAUAAGCAUUUCUCUUGCAUUUCUUUCAUCUUAAUUCACUUUUUUACCUUAGUGAGAAAAAUGACAAACACCACCAGCAGCAGCAUAGCCUUAGAAGUCACAGGGGCAGGCUGAAUAUGGCCAGUCUUUUCUCCUCCUGGACUCUUCUCACUGCAUGAAAAAUGUAUUUGUUUUAUAUUGCUGUGUAACAAGUUACCACAAAUUUAGAUGCUUAAAGCAAUAGACAUUUAUUAUCUUGCAGUUUCAUUGGGCCAGUGAUAUGGACACAGCUUGGAUAGGUCUUUUAUUCAUGGGUCUCUGGAGGCUGCAAUAGAGGUGUCUACUAACCUUUUUUUCUCUCUGGAGUUCAGGGUUCGUUUUCAGACCCAGGUAGUUUUUGGCAGAAUUCUGUUUCUUGCAGCUGUAGGAUGGAAGUCCCUGUUUUCCUGAUGGCCAUCAGUAGGAUACCACCCUCAGAAUCUAUAGGCCGCCUUAGUUCCUUGCCAGGAGGCUCUUUCAUGGGCUUUUCAUAAAAGUGAAGCUUACUUCUUCAAAGCCAGCAGGAGAAUCUCUUGUUUAAGUCUGCUAAAAUGGAAUCUUACAUAGUCUAAUAAAAUCAUGGGAGCGACCCAUCACCUUUGCCUUAUUCUAUUGGCUGUAAGUCACAGGUUCUGCCCACACUCAAGGGGAGGGAAUAAGACAAGAAUGUGAAUCAUUGAGGGUCACCUCAGGGUGUGUCUACCACAGGGAACAAUCACAGAACAUUCUCAGAGACCUCUAAGUGACUGUCAGCUGCCACUGCCAAAUCAUUUGUUAGAUAUAUUUUAUUAAUUUCCCUAAGUUUGCAAGUAGCAGAGCUCACCCAACAAGAAUAAUUUUGAUUGAGAAAAAUUUGUCAGUAACCAAGAAAAAUUGAUUAUUGGAGCCAGAUGAGAUGGCCAGAUGCCUACCCUGUGAGCUCAAAAAGAAACUGUACCCUCAUGUACUCAUUUUGAGUUUGGAGACCUGGAGAAAUGGCUGCAGUGUUUGCCACUAAUUAGACAAUUUGGAAAGAGUACAUGUUGGGUUAGAAACCCCUAUUUUCAACCCAUUAUUGAAGAAGAGGAAAGUCAAGAGUCACAUUGCAGAUUUUAUCACUUGGGGCCACCUUAAUGUUAAUCUGCUUAAAAAAGCAAAAUAUCUAAAAGGUGUCUUGUUCCUGGGCUCUGUUAGUAGCUAGAGUCAGUUCCCUUAACUUGCAUCGCUGAAAGUUCUGAAGAGCCGUUAGAGCCCAUAGGGAGCUGGGAGGUGUGUGUUGUAUGUGUACAUGUGUGUGUAUAUAUAUGUGGUGGGGAGUGGGGGAUUAGUGCCUUAUGCAUGCCAUUGUAUAAAGGUAAGGUUGGAUGGGACAGCUAGGUUUUCAGCCACCCCCUUCCUCCAUUUUUCCCUCUCUUUUAUUCUUUCUAUUUGCCUUUAAAGACCCUAUUUUUUCUACUCUAAAGUACUUCCCCGGACAAUCAAAUAAAAUCAUAAAAUCGGUAAAGGCUCUUGAAACUUUAGUCCAAAGUCAAUGUGUCCUGAUAAACAGAAAGUACAGGAUUUAAAAAGGAGUCAUUACAUGUGAAAUAUUCAAUAGAAGAAAUAGCAAAAAAGAUACUUGUUUAAGGGUCCAUGCCUAUUCACAUGGACAAAGUAUCAAAAUAAAGGAAUCUGAGAGGUCAUUUAAAUAAAUGAAAUGAUGCAGAUUCAAGGGAAAGAUAGAUUGAACCUGAGGCAGUAUCUAUGUUUACCAAAUCCAGCUUCGUGGCGAGUGAGCUGAAGGGGAAUGUCUUACACACCUUUGCAUUGCAGGAUCCUGCAAAUGGAGAUUUUUUGUAACGCGUUCUCUGGAGUUAGACUGAAUGGGUGCAGCUCUAUAAUCAAUGUCUGCCUGUUAACUGCAUAAAAGGGAACUUGUUCUACUUGAGGUUGAGGCCCUAGGCAGAAUUUAAAUCUCACUCCAAAGCCCUUAAAUAUUUUCCUAGAACCUCAGCCAUGUGAAGGUCCCCAGCAAAGGGAGGCAACCGGGCAGUGUGAUUGUAUAGUGAAAAGAUGGAGGUUGCCAGUAGAGUGUGGAUAACUUCUGAGACACUGGGAGGCCACCAAAGGUAAAUACAGUGGUAUUUUCUCAAUUUCCCCCCCUCCCCUAGUCUCAGAUGAUUUGAGAGCUGGAUUGGCAAAGCAGGCUCAGGCAAGGCUCAGGAAGAGUGGCUUAUUGGGCCAAGUCAGACAGGUAGUGAGUAUGAAGCUAAAGGCUUGUCAGCAUUGUCAGACCAGGCCUUUUGACACAUGGUUAACCACCUGAAGUGAAGGUUGGAAGAAGUUACAUUGCAUUUUAGGAGGCACUUUAUAAAGUGCUUUCCCACAUAAAGCAGUCAAACAGGUCUAGUAUCUGAGGCCAGCCUGCAAUCAACUGCUGCUAAUACACUCUCUACUGAUCUAAGCGAUCUUUUUCCUCUUAGGCGAGACCACUCUGCUCCUUCUAGACUUUCAAGAAUGGUGUCAUGACCCAAUCUACAAAAAUGUCAGAACCCAAACAAUUUGGAGCAGUAAUGAAUUACAAGCUAUCAAACAAAAUAAUGAGGAGCACAUGUUCCACUGAGAAGAGAGGGAUAAGAUCUUUUAAUCAAUAAAGAAAAGUAAAAGCAUUAAAAAUGCCAUUAUUAGAGUAAAGUAAAAGAAAAAGAAUUAUAAAACCUUUGUUGUAUGUCUGGAUCUCCCACUGACUUAAUUGUUAUAGCUUACCUAAAAUCCUUUAUACUUUAUUUUUCAAACUUUAUAAAAGGAUGAAUAACAUUUCUCUUCCUACUUUCCACAUAAGAAUGCUCCAAGGAUUAAUGGGAUUGUUUUAUGAAGAUUUUUGAACUUCACUUGGAAAAGAUAUCUGAAAGGAUAUGAAAUGAAUACAUAUUAAUUUUAAUUGAUAUUAAUUUUAAUUGUAAAGCAUGCUUCUUUGAAACACAUUUAUGCGUCAGCUGAAGUAGACAGAGAGAGAGAGAGAGACGGCUGUGGCUUCUUAAAUUAAUUUAAGGCUUUCUUAAAUUUAAUUUAAACCUUAAAUUAAAUUUCUGUGUAAUUUGGCAUUUUACAGCAAAAGUAGUCAUGUUCCUUCCUCCACGAGCUUUCCUAAAUAAAAAUUUUCAUGUUAUCAAA